rnacentral:lncRNA from 1 species
AGACGGGAACUUGAAGGUGACGCUUUCUGUUAUUCAGACCAGAUCAUCCUCUCUAGGAUUGAAGAUUGAGGACAGCUUCUCUGCAGACCUAGAAUCACUAGGUCUUUGAGAAUGUAACUCCGAUCCUUUUCUGAGGAGAACUCAGAUCAGCGUUCAUCGUGCAACACAGGGUCUCAGUGUUCCAAAGCAUUUCCCCUUCCUUUUUUGUCAAGGA